AGUCGGCGGAAACGAUCCUAGCUUGCUAGGAGGCGUCGAGCGGCGGACGGGUGAGUAAUGCAUAGGAAUCUGCCCGGUAGUGGGGGAUAACUUGAGGAAACUCAAGCUAAUACCGCAUACGCCCCAAGGGGGAAAGCAGGGGAUCUUCGGACCUUGCGCUAUCGGAUGAGCCUAUGUCGGAUUAGCUAGUUGGUGAGGUAAUGGCUCACCAAGGCCGCGAUCCGUAGCUGGUCUGAGAGGAUGAUCAGCCACAUCGGGACUGAGACACGGCCCGAACUCCUACGGGAGGCAGCAGUGGGGAAUAUUGGACAAUGGGCGAAAGCCUGAUCCAGCCAUGCCGCGUGUGUGAAGAAGGCCUUCGGGUUGUAAAGCACUUUCAGCGAGGAAGAACGCUUGUGGGUUAAUACCCCGCAAGAAAGACAUCACUCGCAGAAGAAGCACCGGCUAACUCCGUGCCAGCAGCCGCGGUAAUACGGAGGGUGCAAGCGUUAAUCGGAAUUACUGGGCGUAAAGCGCGCGUAGGCGGCUUGAUAAGCCGGUUGUGAAAGCCCCGGGCUCAACCUGGGAACGGCAUCCGGAACUGUCAGGCUAGAGUGCAGGAGAGGAAGGUAGAAUUCCCGGUGUAGCGGUGAAAUGCGUAGAGAUCGGGAGGAAUACCAGUGGCGAAAGCGGCCUUCUGGACUGACACUGACGCUGAGGUGCGAAAGCGUGG
rnacentral:rRNA from 1 species